rnacentral:rRNA from 1 species
UACGAGAGGCCCAAACGUUAUUCGGAUUUACUGGGCUUAAAGAGUUCGUAGGCGGCGCAGAAAGUAGGGUGUGAAAGCCCUCGGCUCAACCGAGGAAUUGCGCCCUAAACUACUGUGCUUGAGGGACCUAGAGGUGAGCAGAACUGAUGGUGGAGCGGUGAAAUGCGUUGAUAUCAUCAGGAAUACCGGAGGCGAAGGCGGCUCACUGGGGGUCUUCGUGACGCU